rnacentral:lncRNA from 1 species
AUGCACCAAAAGAGGGAACAUGUACCAAAAGAGGGAACAUGCACCAAAAGAGGGAAGAUGCACCAAAAGAGGGAACAUGCACCAAGAGAGGGAACAUGUACCAAAAGAGGGAACAUGCACCAAAAGAGGGAACAUGCACCAAAAGAGGGAACAUGCACCAAAAGAGGGAACAUGCACCAAAAGAGGGAACAUGCACCAAAAGAGGGAACAUGCACCAAAAGAGGGAACAUGCACCAAAAGAGGGAACAUGCACCAAAAGAGGGAACAUGCACCAAAAGAGGGAACAUGCACCAAAAGAGGGAACAUGCACCAAAAGAGGGAACAUGCACCAAAAGAGGGAACAUGCACCAAAAGAGGGAACAUGCACCAAAAGAGGGAACAUGCACCAAAAGAGGGAACAUGCACCAAAAGAGGGAACAUGCACCAAAAGAGGGAACAUGCACCAAAAGAGGGAACAUGCACCAAAAGAGGGAACAUGCACCAAAAGAGGGAACAUGCACCAAAAGAGGGAACAUGCACCAAAAGAGGGAACAUGCACCAAAAGAGGGAACAUGCACCAAAAGAGGGAACAUGCACCAAAAGAGGGAACAUGCACCAAAAGAGGGAACAUGCACCAAAAGAGGGAACAUGCACCAAAAGAGGGAACAUGCACCAAAAGAGGGAACAUGCACCAAAAGAGGGAACAUGCACCAAAAGAGGGAACAUGCACCAAAAGAGGGAACAUGCACCAAAAGAGGGAACAUGCACCAAAAGAGGGAACAUGCACCAAAAGAGGGAACAUGCACCAAAAGAGGGAACAUGCACCAAAAGAGGGAACAUGCACCAAAAGAGGGAACAUGCACCAAAAGAGGGAACAUGCACCAAAAGAGGGAACAUGCACCAAAAGAGGGAACAUGCACCAAAAGAGGGAACAUGCACCAAAAGAGGGAACAUGCACCAAAAGAGGGAACAUGCACCAAAAGAGGGAACAUGCACCAAAAGAGGGAACAUGCACCAAAAGAGGGAACAUAUAGCAAAAGAGGGAACAUGCACCAAAAGAGGGAACAUGUUCCAAAAGAGGGAACAUGCACCAAAAGAGGGGUCUAA